rnacentral:lncRNA from 1 species
UUGUCGGACAUAAUAGUGUAGAGUAGUGACAUUCAAAGACUGCAUCUGAGCUGCUAAAGCUGUUUGAAGUUGGCGCCCUUAUGAGGGAAUUUCUUCAUUCUCCCAAACACCAUGAAGAAAAAAAGGCCUAAACCCUCCUCCUACCGCACUCUGUUUCCGCCGGAACCAUCCUUAAAUUCUCUGCCCUCAUCCAAGGCCGACUUUUCCCGGUUGAUCGCCGUCGUUUCCAUCGCCGCCGCGGUGGCGCUUGCCUGCAAUUUCAUUACCGCAUCCCUUAAUCAGCCGCCUAAGCCCUUCUGCGAUACUACUGAUGGCCUCGAUGAUUCCCUCUCUGGUAAGUGGUAACGGUUCCAUUCAUUCAGUAUUGUAUAUAUUUAGUCUAUUUUAGGUCUACGACGUCCGAUUCUUUGUGCGAUGUUCAUUUUUAUGAUUAAGUACUAAAUAACGUGUACAUUCAGUGCUGUUUGUUCCCCGAUUGUGCUGAACACUAGGCUUUCUCUUCCUUGAUACAA